rnacentral:tRNA from 1 species
UGGGCGGUCGCCAAGCUGGAAAGGCACCGGACUUUGGAUCCGGCAGCGAAGGUUCGAGUCCUUCCCGCCCAG